rnacentral:pre_miRNA from 1 species
CUUCCACUUUAACAUAGGAGUGCUUUCUGUGUCACGUAAGAAGAGUAAGUGCUUCCAUGUUUUAGUAGAAG